AUAGGGGAGCCGAAGGGAAACCGAGUCUUAACUGGGCGUUAAGUUGCAGGGUAUAGACCCGAAACCCGGUGAUCUAGCCAUGGGCAGGUUGAAGGUUGGGUAACACUAACUGGAGGACCGAACCGACUAAUGUUGAAAAAUUAGCGGAUGACUUGUGGCUGGGGGUGAAAGGCCAAUCAAACCGGGAGAUAGCUGGUUCUCCCCGAAAGCUAUUUAGGUAGCGCCUCGUGAAUUCAUCUCCGGGGGUAGAGCACUGUUUCGGCAAGGGGGUCAUCCCGACUUACCAACCCGAUGCAAACUGCGAAUACCGGAGAAUGUUAUCACGGGAGACACACGGCGGGUGCUAACGUCCGUCGUGAAGAGGGAAACAACCCAGACCGCCAGCUAAGGUCCCAAAGUCAUGGUUAAGUGGGAAACGAUGUGGGAAGGCCCAGACAGCCAGGAUGUUGGCUUAGAAGCAGCCAUCAUUUAAAGAAAGCGUAAUAGCUCACUGGUCGAGUCGGCCUGCGCGGAAGAUGUAACGGGGCUAAACCAUGCACCGAAGCUGCGGCAGCGACACUGUGUGUUGUUGGGUAGGGGAGCGUUCUGUAAGCCUGUGAAGGUGUGCUGUGAGGCAUGCUGGAGGUAUCAGAAGUGCGAAUGCUGACAUAAGUAACGAUAAAGCGGGUGAAAAGCCCGCUCGCCGGAAGACCAAGGGUUCCUGUCCAACGUUAAUCGGGGCAGGGUGAGUCGACCCCUAAGGCGAGGCCGAAAGGCGUAGUCGAUGGGAAACAGGUUAAUAUUCCUGUACUUGGUGUUACUGCGAAGGGGGGACGGAGAAGGCUAUGUUGGCCGGGCGACGGUUGUCCCGGUUUAAGCGUGUAGGCUGGUUUUCCAGGCAAAUCCGGAAAAUCAAGGCUGAGGCGUGAUGACGAGGCACUACGGUGCUGAAGCAACAAAUGCCCUGCUUCCAGGAAAAGCCUCUAAGCAUCAGGUAACAUCAAAUCGUACCCCAAACCGACACAGGUGGUCAGGUAGAGAAUACCAAGGCGCUUGAGAGAACUCGGGUGAAGGAACUAGGCAAAAUGGUGCCGUAACUUCGGGAGAAGGCACGCUGAUAUGUAGGUGAAGUCCCUCGCGGAUGGAGCUGAAAUCAGUCGAAGAUACCAGCUGGCUGCAACUGUUUAUUAAAAACACAGCACUGUGCAAACACGAAAGUGGACGUAUACGGUGUGACGCCUGCCCGGUGCCGGAAGGUUAAUUGAUGGGGUCAGCGCAAGCGAAGCUCUUGAUCGAAGCCCCGGUAAACGGCGGCCGUAACUAUAACGGUCCUAAGGUAGCGAAAUUCCUUGUCGGGUAAGUUCCGACCUGCACGAAUGGCGUAAUGAUGGCCAGGCUGUCUCCACCCGAGACUCAGUGAAAUUGAACUCGCUGUGAAGAUGCAGUGUACCCGCGGCAAGACGGAAAGACCCCGUGAACCUUUACUAUAGCUUGACACUGAACAUUGAGCCUUGAUGUGUAGGAUAGGUGGGAGGCUUUGAAGUGUGGACGCCAGUCUGCAUGGAGCCGACCUUGAAAUACCACCCUUU
rnacentral:rRNA from 1 species